UACGUAGGGUGCAAGCGUUAUUCAGUAUGACUAGGCGUAAAGGGUCUGUAGGCGGCAAGUUUAGUUGUUGGAAAAAAUGUUUAAGGCAUAACCUUAAAAAAACGAAACAAAAACGGACUUUGCUAGAGUAAUAAAAGGGGAUAAUAGAAAUUUCUGGAGUAGGGAUGGAAUCCAGUGACAGCAGAAGGAAUUUCAAUGGCGAAAGCGAUUAUCUGGUUAUUACUGACGUUGAGAGACGAAGGCGUGGGUAGCGAAUGGG
rnacentral:rRNA from 1 species